GACGAACCGAGCGAACGUUGUUCGGAAUUACUGGGCGUAAAGGGCUCGUAGGCGGCCAACUAAGUCAGACGUGAAAUCCCUCGGCUUAACCGGGGAACUGCGUCUGAUACUGGAUGGCUUGAGGUUGGGAGAGGGAUGCGGAAUUCCAGGUGUAGCGGUGAAAUGCGUAGAUAUCUGGAGGAACACCGGUGGCGAAGGCGGCAUCCUGGACCAAUUCUGACGCUGAGGAGCGAAAGCCAGGGGAGCAAACGGG
rnacentral:rRNA from 1 species